rnacentral:rRNA from 1 species
GACGAACGCUGGCGGCGUGCUUAACACAUGCAAGUCGAACGGAAAGGCCCUGCUUUUGUGGGGUGCUCGAGUGGCGAACGGGUAAGUAACACGUGAUUAACCUGCCCUUGACUUUUGGAUAACUUCAGGAAACUGGGGCUCAUACCGGAUAGGAGCUCCUGCUGCAUGGUGGUGGUUGGAAAGUUUCGGCGGUUGGGGAUGGACUCGCGGCUUAUCAGCUUGUUGGUGGGGUAGUGGCUUACCAUGGCUUUGACGGGUAGCCGGCCUGAGAGGGUGACCGGCCACACUGGGACUGAGACACGGCCCAGACUCCUACGGGAGGCAGCAGUGGGGAAUAUUGGACAAUGGGCGGAAGCCUGAUGCAGCAACGCCGCGUGCGGGAUGACGGCCUUCGGGUUGUAAACCGCUUUCAGUAGCGACGAAGCGUGAGUGACGGUAAUGACUGAAGAAGCACCGGCUAACUACGUG